AGUUAACCUCUAACUUCUGAAGAUAUAGCUAUCAUCCUCCAGAAUUAUGGAACCGAACCCAUUACCGCUCCCUUCUUAUUAUUCUUUACUUAUUUCAGUGAAUAGUAGUUACACAGAUUCUAUAAGAGAUGAAAGUGACCUCUUCUUUUCGCUUUAAGAAAGGAAUAAUUGUAGGUUCCAUCUAUAAGGAAUAAUUGUAGGUUCCAUCUAGAAAUAUCAGUUUCAGAAGUUCAUCUUUCUAUAAGUGAGUCACUUCACUGCUGUAUCUUUAGUUAUUGAAUCUCAUGAUUAUUGAAUAGUCUUGGUUUGGUGCCUAUAUGCCGUAUGAGAUGUUGGUACCGUAGUCCUAUUAUGGAGUAAGGAUUGUGAUUCUGAAAGUCGGUGCUCUGCUCUCUCUCUUAAAGGGUUAAGUCAGAUCCUGUCAAUAUACCGUCUGAAGGCCUGGCUUAAGCUACUGAAUGAAUGGAACAACUUCUUUUAGCGCUGACUUGAACCUCUUCUCCAGCUUAUGCUUUAGUUAUUGUUUUUAGUACUUCUGCAAGUGCUGAGUCUGCCUCUGUAUCUCAAUUACUAUCUUUAUAGGCGAUGUGCACUAUCAAAUAAGAAGUUUAGUUCAACAAGCAAGUCAUAAGUUCUAAUAACCAAGGGUGGUAGCUAGUAAAGUAUAAAUCGAAAGUAAAGUAUAAGGUCUCUCAACGUCGAAAGCAAGGGGAAAAACUCAAGUACUUCUGUAUAGGCUGAGGAUGCCAAGAAAUAGGAAAUUCUUCAAGGCAGGGGCACAAGCCAAUCUGUUUUUUUGGGGCACAAGCCCUAUAGCGUAAGUGAGCAGAACUUUCACUUUUCUUCUGAAUGACUUAGUUUGAGCUACAUCGGAUCGGUGACGACUUUUACCACUAUUCGGGCAAGGGUCAAGGAAUAGCGGCUCUGGGCUAUAAAGUAAAGAGUGAGUUUCGGAGUAAGGAAUGAGUUUUGAAGCAAUGCUCUAGAUUGAAUCUCUUACAUCUAUAUUCUUAGAUGGGAUGCUUUAUUCUUUGAUUGCACCGUUGGUUGUGCCCUAUAUUAUCCGUUCUCCGUUCGCCCAUGCUGCUUGUUUACAUAUUUGUUUACAUGUUAUUGUUCCUUUCUUUACUUGUUGAGUUCGAGCAUUCAACAUAUGGUUCUGUUGCUUGUUUACUCUAAACUAUAGCAAUACCACUUUACUCGUUGAGCACAUCGAGGUUCAUUGCCGGCAAUUCUGGUAGUCGAAUGAAGAAGUUGGGAGGGCCAGUAUGAAGUCAAGUCAGAGAAUCAUAUGCUAGUCAGGUACCAGUAACACUAAAUGAGGCCGGAGGCGGAAUGCUCUCGAAACCAAUUAACUUGAGUGAGACAUAGUAGAGUGGAGUUCGCCAUGUAUAUUCUUAUUGUUCCCUAGCUUAUAGGUUCGCCAUGUAUAUUCUUAUUGUUCCCUAGCUUAUAGAUUGUUCAUUGAAAGCACUACUUAUAGAUAGAUGAUAGUAAAAACACUGCUUACAAGUAUAUUGCUGACAGCUUUUCCCUUACAAACUCAUAUCGGCGCUGCCCAAGAUUUCAUUUCCCUUACUGCUUUUAUCUUGAAAACUCCCUUACUGCUUCUCUAAAAAACGAAGCUAGGAAACCGAACUCUAUACUCAAACCUAAAGAGCAUAGGUCUCCCUGACAACUACAGAAUGGAAUGGAGUGCACAACAAAUGUCAUAUAGUAACUAAACAGGCGCUUACUCUCAUCAAUAUAUAAAAGAGUGCAACAAAGGGUUCAGAACUUGUUUCAUUGAGUGCACUGUUGCUUGUUUUCUUUCGCACCCCGAUAAGUAGCCUAAGGCGAAACUCUUUGACUUAUGAUUAUAGCUUCAAAGCAAGUAAGAGAAUCGUUCAAAGCUGUAACCCAUUGGAGUUGUGUAAGAGGCCGAGGUAGCACACCUUUCUUUGGGCGAUAUCUACUCAAUUGUAUAAUGAGGAUCUUUAGCAAGCAAUAAGUACUUAAAUAAGACAUUUCGCUGAAAUCUAGAAUUCCACAUUUUGCAAGUGUACCAGAUUCUUGAUUAUUUCGAGGAAAAGGUGAGGGAGUCUAUAAUCCGUUCCUUUGAUAUGCGGAAUUUAUAUGAAGCUCUGUGUCGGUUAAGUGGAGUAGAGUCAUAGUAGGCGGCCAGAAGCCCUAUUAGUGGGCGGCCAGAAGCCCUAUUUCCAUCUAUCCGUCCGUGCAGCACUUUCUUCUUAGAAUCGAAUGGGAACUUCCAGUAUUGUUUUCGCCCCAUGUCUUUGAUGAAACCUGAGCUGAGGUAGAAGAAACGAAAGCGCUUAUUUCUUCCAUCUAAUAAGGAUGGAUAAGUCAAAACAAGAGAAUAUAACCUAAAAAGGAUAAGUCGAAACUCUAGAAUAGAACUCUUAAGGAACCAAAGAAGUCCCGAUCCGAUAGAAGUUGUUCUUCAAAAUGGACGCUAAGUACUGCCCUCAGAAAUACCCAAGAUAGACCCUACAGGCUUUUGUUAUGGAAAGGCACACUACACUGGUCGAUAAUUCUUUACGAAUGGUGAUACGCGCACGGCUAUACAUAGAGCUUAAUACUGAUUGCUUUUGGAUUCUAGCUUGGAAUAAGUUCACGGGCAGUUGCCUAUACAGCCUUUUCUUCUCGCAGUAAUCGAAGACCCGCUAUCCAGGCGAGAGCAUAAGCUUCUAGGAAAUCCGUUUGACUACGUAGUCCUAUAAGAACUGAUGUUAUAGCCUUGAAGGGAAUAGGGCUUACCUGCAAGAGAUAAGGCCAGAAACUCGGCGCAGAUAAGAAAUCUAUCUUCUCAUUGCUUUGUAAGGGGAAAGGCUAAGGGUUAAGGUAAAGAAUCAAGUGUUUGUAGUUUCAUCCAUCUUAGGGUUGCCCAUUGCGCGUUCAGGGGAGAAAACAAACCCGAGCUGUCUAUAACCUACCUCCUUUAUAUCGCUACUUUAUUGUCUAGCUAAUAUUCUCUCUUCUCUCAAAGAAUGCCUAAUACCUGAUCUUCGCGAGCGCUGCGCAUCUAACUCGUCUAGGUAAUUCGCGCAUAAUUCCUUUGUCAGAAAUAAGAAAAAGAAAGAAUAAUAAGAAGUUAUUGACUGAAAGCGCUUAGUAAGUCUAUAUUCCCUCUAUUGCUGAAUCCUACCAUACCUAUACAUAGAAUAGCUUGAAUUCAUAGAACUCCCUUGAGUCAGAUCACAAAAGAUUCUUUCAUGGUAAGGGGCAUCCUACUUUCUUUUCUAAUUCAAAUAGGAUCGAGUUUCUUCAACUUAAACAGCCCUGGGUCUUUCUUUGUUUAAUUGGUUCUCCCGUGGUAAGCUAUAUGACUACUGGCUAGGCUGGGCCUCCUAUUAAUAAAGAUGGUAAGCCCGAUCCCUCACUCUAUUCUCUAACCGCUGAAAUGGAUUGUUUGCUUCAUUUCCCUCACUCUAUUCUAUAACCGCUGAAAUGGAUUGUUUGCUUCAUUAAAGUAAAGGAUAGAAUAUUGAUUGAAAGCCUCCCUCCGUAAGAAGUACUCUAUUGCCAGUCUCGGUCAAUUGAAUCUAACUGAGCGGUUCGUACUUUCCUUUCCUAUUCUUUUAUAUAAUUCCUUUCCCAUUAUUUGAUAUAAUUAUGGAACGGGUGUCUGAAAGAUAACUAAAAGGGUAGGUGGGCCUAAUAACAGUCUGGUCUAUUCUUGAUGCGCUUUAAUAGAUUUGAAGACAUCGAAUGUCGAAUGAGUUGAAAGAUAGCCCGACUUACAAGUUCGAAAUGUUAUCUUCACUUUAUUGGCUCCAUCACCUGCUGCUGCCUCUCGAAUCUUAUUCUGUGUAACAGGGAUAGGGAUGCCAAGACAAUGAUAUGGCCCCUUCCUCUUCUCAGAUACUACUGGAAAUGCGCGAUUGAUCGAUGGCUCGGCUGAUUUGCCUGACCGAGUCCUAGUCUCAAACCAUGUCACUCGGGGAGGAAGAGCAGACUUGAAAGCUGGGUAGGAAGAGCAGACUUGCAAGCAGGAGUCACGUGCUACAAAAGUGCAAAGAUAAGAGGAACAUCACAGAAAACGAGCUCUUUCUCUGAUUAGCCCUGUAGAUCACUGGCUAGAUCGGACUCUCUCUCUACCUUUGCUAACUCCGCCAGUAAAGGAAGUUAGUCCAUAGCGCCGGCUUUAUCAAUUUGUUCUGUUCUCUUGGGGGAUAUACCAAAAAUGAAGUAGUGUGGGCAUUAUGAAAGGGAUGAUACUCUAUUAAAUAAAGGGUCAAAUACUCUAUGAAAGGGAUGAUACUCUUAAGGGAUUCUACUCUAAAGGGAUAUGAGACUCUCUUAUUUAUUCCAGAAAGCAAAGAGAACGAUUGGUAAACUAUUGAACUGUAAUCACUACUUCUAUUGCAACUGUGCUAUUACCAAUUCACUCACGGACUUAUAACAGCUUAACUAACUACUGUAUUGACUAGGGAUGGAAAGCAAGCUAGUCAUUGUCACUACUGCUAAGUAAGUACUAGUAAUAAGCAAUGUCACCUAUGUCACUAAGCAAGUAACAGGAAAGCAAAGUAAUGUUAACUAGAAUCUAGGGCUGUUAACUGUAAUCUAGGGAAGCUAGGGUAUUGUUGGGUUACCGCUAAGUGAGAAGCAGUUGUGAAUGAAAGAGGUCUUUCUUGCAGCUAACGCGAGCUACUUUAGCUUACGUAGUGAAGUUGCGCUAACGUCGUUUCCGUUGCUUGUUGAACUCGCCGUGCCGUUAUUUCAAGAGAAGCCCCAUCUCUUCAUUGUUUUGUGAAGCAGAUAGAACCAACCCGAGGCUUGACCUGACCCAUUCUAAGAAAGGCAAACUCAAUAGAUAGCUUCGAAGAGGAACUCGUAGUUACAGCUUUUCAGGGACAGUCAGACCUCCUUUGCAGCUCUUGAUACUCGGUCAUUCCUUCCGUUCAGCUUAAGGUCCCUCGCCUCACUACAUUCCCUCAGCCCGGACAGCAAAGAAAGGGAAAAGUCCAUAAUCCAACUUAUUUCUCUAAUAGCUCAUUCAUGUACUCUCUCUCUUACUAACCAAUCCUUAUCUUAGGGGGAAAGAAAGGAAAUUCGUAAUUGUACUAUCUUACUUACCUUAGCAAUCCUUUUACCAAUCCGUAGAAGAAAGAAAAAGGAACAUUGGGCCCAUCCUGAAUUAUUAUAUUAUAGGGGCUCGGCUCAUUCAUGAAUACAAUAGUCCCAGCUGCAGAUCCAUACUUGAUUCUUGACUUCCCUGACCUUUAUCUGCUCAAGUCAUCUUUCAUUCUAUCCGUGCUUUCUAAAGUAUCAAGUGUCCUCAUGUUGGUAAGAAGAUAAGAGAAAGGUAAAAGAUUUGUUGUAAGGUAUAGGUUUUGUAGGAGAGGGAGUAGUCAGAGUCCGAGGUGUCGUAGGAAAGGAGGUUGUUAGAGUCCGAGGUGUCGUAGGAAAGGAGGUUGUUAGAGUCCACCUGACGCCCGUUCAAAGCAGUAUAUUAUUUCUCUUUCUCCUCUUCUCUUUUCCUUGGUAUAGAGUGGAAAGUGUUCUCUUUUCCGAGUAGGAACUGUGUCUGAGGGGCCCCUAUCAAAGGAGAGAUUUUCCGGGUAUGUGUGUUGUCACGAAAGUGCAAGGGGUGAUUCCUAGCACGGCACGCACGGCUAUAGGUUUUGAAAGGGUAGUAAAGAAAGAGCAGAUAGGAGCGAGUAAGGUGGAAUGCGGGGACUUGAAUACCAGCCUAGGAACGAACAGAACAGGUCUUUUUCUUUAGUGAUAAAUGCAUUUCAAGCUGGGGCAACUACUAAUCAAAAGGCGGCAACGGAACCGGCAACUCAACAUAACUCCUAACAAUAGUAACAAAACAGAGCACUUAAGUGAUUCAUAUCAUCUCAUAUCUGUCCAAAAACUACCAUAAGCUCUUGCGCCCUAGCUUUGCCCCUAGCUUGUUUCAAUAAUCAAAGUCAGACAUCUUUCUUCCAACUAUAAAAACACUUAUGACAGCUUCCUUUAGCUCAAAACACUUAUUACAGCUUCCUUUAGCUCACUUGUUUACUUUCUUCGUGUCUUUUCUCUUACUAGGCCUUUCUUUAGCCCACUUACUUAUAUUAGUACUUGGUUGGUCCUUAGCUUUGUAGCAUCAUAGUUUCUACUGGUGCGCUCCUAACCUAAAUAAAAGUCAGUUUAGCGCAACGGCGAAAUGAGCAUUUAUAUGAUUUUCCAAGAACUCGCUAUAGAAUAUAAUAUAAUCAUAGUCAAAUAUAAUCAUAGUAAUAUAAUCAUAGUCAAAUAUAAUCAUUGUAUAGUAAACUCACAGUAUUGCUGACUUUCGACUUAUUGUUCUUGCUUGUUGAAUCACAUUUUCAUGAAGGACAACUAAACUAAUAGCAGCAUAGUGCCCCGGACUACAAGAAUGGAAGAUAGGCAUGGUUCUGUUGCUUACAGAUAUGAGUCUUAAGUGAGAAUGGAGGCAUAAGAGAAUGGAGUGCCCAGCCCAAUUCUAUAAUAUCAAUACCGCCGACUUUCUAACAACAUUACUAUAAUGAGACGAUACUUCCAUCUUGAUACGAUCGAUUCUACUUCACUUUCUUAUUCUUUAUUAUGGACUUCCUUCUUUAUACACGAUUCUAUUUCGACUUUCUUCUUUAUACACGAUUCUAUUUCAUUUGACUUUAUUAGAGACUUCGAGCAAGCAAUAAGGGUAGGCUGAGCUAGUGUGAACCAAAUCCUUUAUUCUUCCCAAACUCCAGUAAGUGUUAGCGCGCAUAUAUCAUAUAUAGAGUUUCUAUAGUGGAGCUUCUGAGUUCGCUAUUACUUGUUUUUUCUUUCUUUCUAUCUAUUGCUUGUUGAGUCAGGAGCUUUCUAGUAAGGGGUUAUGUUACUUUCUUGCCGAACCCUACACUAUACUUGAUAAGGACAAAAGCAGAGGCACUAUCAUCACAAACUAUUGAGUACAUGGGGAUAGUGUAGAGUUAGGGUACCAUUAAGUUCGUAGGGUACCAUUAAGUGAGUCAGGAGUCUGUCUGUUUUGAAGCAAAAGGAACAAGCACCAAAAGAGUAGAGUAUUCAGGAAUAUGCUUAGCGCUUCAACGCCCUGCCCUCUUUCUUGCUAAUACGUCUUUCCCGCCUUACCCUUAAUUCAAACAAGCCAAGGGGGCAAGAACAACAAGAAUCAAACUCGUAUAGGCAGCAGUUAAGCAGAAGCGGAGAGUUCCAUAAGUAACGGAAUCAAAAGGAUAAGCGCAAGGGAAUUACAAAGAAGAGAUUUUGACUUACUGGGCUUUCUGUACACUAACACGUCCCGUCCCGAACUCCCUUAACAGACAAAGGAAAGAUGGCUCUUAUAAUGCAGUGCAGUUUUUCUUACUAACAUGGAUCUGCGCCUAAUACGGAUCUUUUUGUUCUUGAGCUGAGCUCUUGCUUGUUGCAGUGUCACAAGUGUAGUUCGAGCAAACCCUGCUUUGAUUCUUGUUUCGCCUAUAACUGACUUAUAUUAUAGGAAUAAUGGGAAUAAGUAGUGGAGCUUAUGGGAAUAAUGGGAAUAGUGGAGCUCUUAUGGGAAUAAUGGGAAUAAGUAGUUUAGUUCCAUUUCGAAUAGAAUAGAAAGCUUCACUAAAUUACUCCGCAAUAAGAUUGAUAACUCUACUCACCUUUUCACCCUAAAAGUCACAGCUAACCCACGAAUGGCCAAUAAAGCUACCUUCAUGAAUAGCACGCCCCGAAUCCUAUCAUUAUUAUUGAAUACUCUAGGGUGUUUACAAUGGAAGGUCAGAAAUAGAGUGAGUGAUUCUUCAAUGCUAGAGCUAAGACCGAGGAGAAAGCAAGCGCUCUUAGCAGAAAGCUGGGCCGAAUAUCAAGUGUAGUCAGGGGGCUUUACUUAGCGAGUGGUGCACUACGGCUUUCAUGGAAUUGAACCGCUUGCUUCGACUUCUGACUUCACUGCUUUAACCGUACUCUACACUUGAGGAACCGCACUAAACUCGCUUACACUGAAUUGAUCCAGAUCAUGCUGCUUCGGCUCCCUAUUCUUCUCCAGCAAUAUGAUCUUCUGCUCCUCGGGAUUCAACAAG
rnacentral:lncRNA from 1 species